rnacentral:lncRNA from 12 species
UUUUAAAAGAAAGUCAGAAAAUUGUCUAAAUUUUAGGCCUUGCAAAAGGUAACUUGCCACUGUCCCUACCAGUGGAGGGAGAAGGAGAGAGAAACUUAAGUUUACUCCAUGCUCAGUGUAGAGCCCACCAUUGGGUUCGAACCCACAACCCCAAGGUCAUGGCUGGAGCUGAAACCAAAAGUCUGAGGCUCCACUGACUGCACUACCCACGGGCCCCCUGAAAACUUUUAAAAAAAAUGAUUGAACCAGGCAGAACCAAUUUUGAUCUGCAUGAUUUCUUUCAACUGUAGAACAGUUUUUAGAACAGAAAGAACCUGAAAAGAAUGAUGGAGUGUUAGGUUCUUGCAUCCAAGAAGGCCAAGUGAGAGCACUGAUGUGCAGUCAAGUUGGCAGCAAGAGGAAUGUCUGAGAAAUCUAAGAAACAAAACUUCUCUUCAUGCCAGUGAGUGAACCACUUCAUGUGGCGUGCGGUGCUUGGAGCAAGAGCACUCGGGGAGAGUCGAUGUGCUGAGUUGCAGAAUGGCAGGGUGUGUUCACGCUCACGUCUACAUUGAGUUCUCCAAGCCUCUCAUCCCAUCAGAAGGAUCUUGAAUGAAUUCCUCUUGCCCUGCUAAGAUUAUGUUCCUUGUCGCUUUUGGAAUGGUUUCUGGAACGAUAGCAGAACUUUUCAUGUAUUUGCACACUUCCAGACCUUAAUAUUAAUUUCUUGCCCAUCACUUGAAUUUUUUUUUUUUUUUUCAGAAAACUGGUCUUGGCAGCAGUUGAUACUACUUCCAAGUACGCUUCCUCUCAAGUUUGUUUGUCUUCUGAGCUGGUUUGGGAGAGAAUGUAAAAGAUGUGGAAGAGAAACCUUAUUCUUCUCGGUUGGGUACAUGUUUGAUAUAAGAGAUUGUGGUCCGAAAACGUUUUAUAGCUGGCAGUCUCGUAACAUUUCAUCACUCCUGUUAGUGACCUAUCUUACCGCCUUGAUGAAUUAAGAGUUAUGAAGAUGCACUUAUCUUGGAGAAGGACUUAGAGUUAUGCUUCCUUAGCAAUUUGAAAUCUGUUGAAGUAUGCUAGGAUUGGAGGUGAAGUUCUGAGCAAAUGUAAAAAAAAAAAAAAAUCCUAUUCUGAAGAAAGCAUGGUUUUUAAAACUGUUUUUAGGACAAGUGGUCUCAUUCAUCUCUUUUGACUCCCUGACAAUGAAGUUAUUUACUUUGUGCUGAGAUAAAUCCAAGAGUACCAGUGAGUUGUGAAAUGUUAAUCACGCAGCUAUCACUGAAUUAUUGCUGAAUGCACUCGUUCUU